rnacentral:rRNA from 1 species
UACAGAGGCCCCGAGCGUUAGGCGGAAUCACUGGGCUUAAAGCGUGUGUAGGUGGAUGCCUAAGUACCUUGUGAAAUCCCACGGCUUAACCGUGGAAUUGCUGGGUAUACUGGGUGUCUUGAGCCACUCAGGGGCUACCGGAACAAAUGGUGGAGCGGUGAAAUGCGUAGAUAUCAUUUGGAACGCCAAUGGUGAAAACAGGUAGCUGGGGGUGUGCUGACGCUGAGACACGAAAGCCAGGGGAGCAAACGGG